GCCUCACAGAAAGAGCCACCACUGCCACUCGGUACCUGUUGACCCUGGACAGUCAUUCUAGCUUCUGUUUCCUCCUCGGACACCUAAGAACGAUUACCCUUUCUUCACAAGGCGGUUCGAAGCACUGGAUAAAAAGUGUUUGUGAAAGGAUUAUGAACAGGUGGCUAACCUUGAAGAAUGAGACGGUAUUAAGUACUGACUAAUACAGGGCCAUGGGUACUACCAUCCACUACUGGUAAGGGUAGAAGACUGGAGGGGAAUCCAGCACAUGUGGGCUGAACACGUGCAUGUGGCCAGCUAUUCCUGUUCUAGAGUCUGCCUGGUGAGACACUCAAGAGUAAGCUGACGGAAACAGGAACCAAGGUGGUUACUGCCGAGCUGUUGGUGAGAGUAGAUACUUGGAGCCAACCUGAAGAUCUACCAGCAACGAAGCUGAGAGCCCAAGAAAAAGAUUAUGCAAGAAGUCAACUGAAGAAGCCAGGUGCACCCCCACUGAAGAUGUUCGUGUACGGGCACACAUCAAGGUUGACAGAUCCCAAACAUGUUAUCAAGUUACAAGAACUAGUGGCAGUGUCCCCACACUGCCUGGUCAUCAUUCAAUGGCUGGAUCUGUGAAUGGAUGGAAGAGUGAAUGAAUGAAACAAAGUGACCCCAUUCUACGUGGAGAACGUUUGUGGACAGAUUUCCACAUAUUCUCUGGGACUUCAGGCAACCUGAUUUUUCUGCUAGUGAGUCUCCUUGUAUAUGAAGUUGGAAUGCCAGUACCUUCUGAAGACUGGAGCUUCUGAAGACUCUCAUAAUGAGGACUCAUUUUGCUUAUGAUCAUCUGUUCCCUGAGUCAGCAAACCACCACCUGAGGGCCAAUUCCUGCCAGGGUACAAGUCUUUGUAUUUCCGUC